CUCUCUUUCCCAUGAAAAGACAUGUUCGGCUAUUAGGAAUCAGUCCUUUUGUGGUGGAACUUCAAGUGGGGACAUUUUUGCAGUGAUUCUUCUUCCUCUCCUUUUGGGGUAUAGAAACUUGGUACAGUAUGCUUAUAAAACUCAUGAUAAGUGGAAUUGGCAUCAAAAACAUUUUAAAAUUCUUCAUAUCCUGUGACUUUCUAGUUCUGAUAGAGCACUUCAAUUAUGAAUUGAAUUAUUUUUGCUUGACGAAUUCCUUACAAGAAACAUAUUCCACCUACUAGGAGAUUAAAAUGAGCCAAAGUUGGAGAGUGGGAAAGAAAGAGCUUAAUUAUUGUCUCUUUCUUUGGCAUCUUUAGUUUAUGUUUUUUUUUUUACUUGGUAGAAAGCGGGGCAGUGCUUGAAAAGUGUGAAGUGUUGGUUUUAAAGUUCUAAUCCUUACCCAUACAGGUAAGCAGGCUGCUACCAGGAAACCAGUUUGUCCCAAAACUUGGGAAACCAAACUUAUCUGUCAUUUUUGGGAAGCUCAUUUCUCAUAUCAGUAGCUUUCAAAGCAGUGGCUCUCGCUCAUGUCAAAGUCAUGGAGUGUUGCAGUUAACGGUGGAGAUGGUUGUUGCUUAUCAUGGGUCCCUUUUUAGUGUUAUGUUUCUGUAUUCAUAAAUAGGUCAUUCGCAAUAAUGGAAGAACCAUCGACUGUUUACUGGACAGUACCAGCUUUUUGUUCUGUCCAGACAGUUCCUGUCCUUGUUGAUUA